AUUGAACGCUGGCGGCAGGCCUAACACAUGCAAGUCGAACGGUAACAGGAAGCAGCUUGCUGCUUCGCUGACGAGUGGCGGACGGGUGAGUAAUGUCUGGGAAGCUGCCUGAUGGAGGGGGAUAACUACUGGAAACGGUAGCUAAUACCGCAUAAUGUCGCAAGACCAAAGAGGGGGACCUUCGGGCCUCUUGCCAUCGGAUGUGCCCAGAUGGGAUUAGCUUGUUGGUGGGGUAACGGCUCACCAAGGCGACGAUCCCUAGCUGGUCUGAGAGGAUGACCAGCCACACUGGAACUGAGACACGGUCCAGACUCCUACGGGAGGCAGCAGUGGGGAAUAUUGCACAAUGGGCGCAAGCCUGAUGCAGCCAUGCCGCGUGUAUGAAGAAGACCUUCGGGUUGUAAAGUACUUUCAGCGGGGAGGAAGGGAGUAAAGUUAAUACCUUUGCUCAUUGACGUUACCCGCAGAAGAAGCACCGGCUAACUCCGUG
rnacentral:rRNA from 1 species